rnacentral:rRNA from 1 species
AAAUCAAGCGCGAAAAGGGCGUUUGGUGGAUGCCUAGGCAGUAAGAGGCGAUGAAGGACGUGAUACUCUGCGAUAAGCUUGGGGGAGCCGAGAAUAGGCUUUGAUCCCAGGAUCUCCGAAUGGGGCAACCCACCUGACAGUUUGUUAUAAUAGCCCUCGGGCUGCUUAUAACGGGCUGAAACAGGUACUUGAGACCUGAAUACAUAGGGUUUUAAGAGCGAACCCGGGGAACUGAAACAUCUAAGUACCCGGAGGAAAGGAAAUCAAUUGAUACUCCCUCAGUAGCGGCGAGCGAACGGGGACCAGCCGAGCCUUGAGAGUGAGAAGAACAUGCUGGAAAGCAUGGCCAUAGCGGGUGACAGCCCCGUAUUCGAAGCUCAAUGGGACGCAUUAAGUAGGGCGGGACACGUGAAAUCCUGUCUGAAGAUCGGGGGACCACCCUCGAAGGCUAAGUACUCCUUACUGACCGAUAGCGAACCAGUACCGUGAGGGAAAGGUGAAAAGCACCCCGACGAGGGGAGUGAAACAGUACCUGAAACCGGACGCCUACAAUCAGUCGGAGGGGCCUUGAGCCCUGACGGCGUACCUUUUGUAUAAUGGGUCAUCGACUUGGUCUCACGAGCAAGCUUAAGCCGUUAGGUGUAGGCGCAGCGAAAGCGAGUCUUAAUAGGGCGCAUGAGUUCGUGGGAUCAGACCCGAAACCGAGUGAUCUAGGCAUGACCAGGAUGAAGGCAAGGUAACACUUGCUGGAGGUCCGAACCCACACCUGUUGAAAAAGGUCGGGAUGAGUUGUGCCUAGGGGUGAAAGGCCAAUCAAACUCGGAGAUAGCUGGUUCUCUGCGAAAUCUAUUUAGGUAGAGCGUCAUCCGAAUACCCCCGGGGGUAGAGCACUGGAUGGGUAAUGGGGCCCCACAGGCUUACUGAUCCUAACCAAACUCCGAAUACCGGGGAGUACUGGGUGGCAGACAGACUGCGAAUGCUAACGUCCGUAGUCGAGAGGGAAACAACCCUGACCUACAGCUAAGGCCCCCAAUUCAUGGCUAAGUGGGAAAGCAGGUGGGACGACCAAAACAACCAGGAGGUUGGCUUAGAAGCAGCCAUCCUUUAAAGAUAGCGUAACAGCUCACUGGUCUAAACAAGUUGUCCUGCGGCGAAGAUGUAACGGGGCUCAAGCCAUGAGCCGAAGCUUAGGAUGCACAUAGUGCAUGGUAGCAGAGCGUGGUGUGACAUAGCUCCAUGCCUCUUUUGCGGACGGUGGGAUCAAACCCACCCUACGUAAUGGAGGCACGGGAGCUUUCUGUGAAGCCGGGGCGUGAGCCAUCCGGUGGAGAGAUCACCAGUGAGAAUGAUGACAUGAGUAGCGACAAAGAGUGUGAGAGACACUCUCGCCGAAAGUCCAAGGGUUCCUGCUUAAAGCUAAUCUGAGCAGGGUAAGCCGGCCCCUAAGUCGAGGCAGAAAUGCGUAGACGAUGGGAACGGGGUUAAUAUUCCCCGGCCAGGAGGAUGUGACGGAUCGCGGAUGUUGUUCGCCCUUAUCGGAUUGGGCGGGCCGCUGAGCGGUUCCUGGAAAUAGCCCUCCAUCAGACCGUACCCUAAACCGACACAGGUGGACUGGUAGAGAAUACCAAGGCGCUUGAGAGAACGAUGUUGAAGGAACUCGGCAAAAUACCUCCGUAAGUUCGCGAGAAGGAGGCCCGGUUUGCACGCAAGUGUUGGCCGGGGGCACAAACCAGGGGGUGGCGACUGUUUACUAAAAACACAGGGCUCUGCGAAGUCGCAAGACGACGUAUAGGGUCUGACGCCUGCCCGGUGCCUGAAGGUUAAAAGGAGGGGUGAGAGCUCCGAAUUGAAGCCCAGGUAAACGGCGGCCGUAACUAUAACGGUCCUAAGGUAGCGAAAUUCCUUGUCGGGUAAGUUCCGACCUGCACGAAUGGCGUAACGACUUCCCCGCUGUCUCCAACAUCGACUCAGCGAAAUUGAAUUGCCUGUCAAGAUGCAGGCUUCCCGCGGUUAGACGGAAAGACCCCGUGCACCUUUACUACAGCUUCGCACUGGCAUCAGGAUUGUGAUGUGCAGGAUAGGUGGUAGGCUUUGAAACGGGAACGCUAGUUCCCGUGGAGCCUCCCUUGAGAUACCACCCUUCGCACUCUUGAUGUCUAACCGCGGUCCGUUAUCCGGAUCCGGGACCCUGCGUGGCGGGUAGUUUGACUGGGGCGGUCGCCUCCUAAAGCGUAACGGAGGCGCGCGAAGGUUGGCUCAGAGCGGUCGGAAAUCGCUCGUUGAGUGCAAUGGCAGAAGCCAGCCUGACUGCGAGACUGACAAGUCGAGCAGAGUCGAAAGACGGCCAUAGUGAUCCGGUGGUCCCGAGUGGAAGGGCCAUCGCUCAACGGAUAAAAGGUACGCCGGGGAUAACAGGCUGAUACUGCCCAAGAGUCCAUAUCGACGGCAGUGUUUGGCACCUCGAUGUCGGCUCAUCUCAUCCUGGGGCUGGAGCAGGUCCCAAGGGUACGGCUGUUCGCCGUUUAAAGAGGUACGUGAGCUGGGUUUAGAACGUCGUGAGACAGUUCGGUCCCUAUCUGCCGUGGGUGUAGGAUACUUGAGAGGAGUUGCCCCUAGUACGAGAGGACCGGGGUGAACGAUCCACUGGUGGACCUGUUGUGGCGCCAGCCGCAGUGCAGGGUAGCUAUGAUCGGAAAGGAUAACCGCUGAAGGCAUCUAAGCGGGAAGCCCCCCUCAAAACAAGGUAUCCCUGAGGGCCGUGGUAGACCACCACGUCGAUAGGCCGGAGAUGUAAGCGCAGCAAUGCGUUCAGUUGACCGGUACUAAUGGCCCGAUAGGCUUGAUUUGA